CUUAAAGGGAAACAUCCGGAUAAAUAAUCAGAGUGCCGUAGGGGGAAGGAGGCUCUGAAGAUUAACUGUUACGCUUGCUGAAUUACGAUGAUAUUCCCUCUGGGCAAAAGCUCUGCUCAGAGCAUGCGGCUCCUGGAGAAUCUCUUCGGAUUCACGACAUGGGCGCGCAAAGAACUGCAGUCUGGGAUCAGCCCCUAACCCCCACCUCCUCAUGACCCUGAAUGGGAUAAGUGGUUACAGAAAAUGGAUGGGUCUUAAAUUUGGCCAAUCGAUUCGUCAAGGUGAUUCCCCCCAAUAGGCAACUUUCAGCGACAGCGCUCCCGCCUCCACCCUGAUCGAAUAAACACACGUACAGCGCAUCAUCAAUGCAGGAUGCUUUCUGCUAUGGAGACAGUAAAAGGGGACAAAAAUGUCAGACCUGAGAACAGAAGAACUGUGGAACGAGAGCUGAGUCUUCACCCUUUGUGGAAAUAGGCACUUUCAUCUCCAGACAGUGCUGGAGCGAAGCAGACAGUGUAUCCUCAACAUUUCAUGCUGGAAAAAAAGUUAUAUUCUGUUAAAAUAUCGAGCUCCUAUAAAAAUGUAUGAGUGGUUGUUGAGAUAAAGCUGUAAUUCACUCUGAAGAGGAAAUGCAUGGGGUGGCGGGGGGGCUACACUCCUUGGAAAAUUUAAUGCCGCUGUUUGCCUGGAAGCUGCAGUUUUCUUUAGAUCUGGCACAAAUUUUCGCACUAAACAAAUAAAGUUUGGUAUUUGGUACAGAAUAGACGUAAUUCCCUUGCGUGCACCUCAGCAUCAAUCUACCAUCCCCUCUUUAACGGUGUCUUCAACAGUUCUGAAUAUGUAGAGUUUACUUGCCUGAAUUUGUCACAGUGUUGGGGAAAAUAGCUAUAGAUUUUUUUUGUCUGUUUUUGUAUUAAUCUUUGCUUCAAGCCUUUGCUUUGACCGGCCUCUGUCUGACACGCCUAUACGUCAUGUGAAGACAGUAUGUGAAUGUGUGUGAUGGAGCCAUUUAUAGUCAUUUAUUGAUUGUGAGAUUGUUGCCUGUGGUGGGUCAGACUGUGGACAACAGUGCCUUUUUGUUUAAUGCCGAUUUGGACUGAAGGUUUAAGGACUUGAUAUAAUUGUUCUUGUAAUUUUUGGAGUUUCAGUGAAAAGCACAAAGUGAUUAUUUGGCUGAAUGGGUAAUUCUGUUUCAGAGAAGGAACCCUUUUGGCAUGCAGGAGACCCGAUGCCCUACAUGUCAUACCUGACAUCACUAAAACAUUUUUCAUACCCCACCUGUACCUGUAUAUUCAGCAAUUUUGGUAAAUGCGAAAUAACUUGGAAUGGCGGGCAGCUGCAGAUAGAGCAAAGGUGCGUGAAAUAUUCUUAUGUGACCAAAAUUUCUGAAGUACUAAGUGCACAUUCCUUCUGGGGAGAACAUCUGGAACCUGCAGCAGAUUGGGAACCGGGGAUCUAAUUAAAAACAAACCUUGUUUUAAGGUUGUGGCACCAGCCACGUGCAGAAUUAAACACAUACAUCAAUCUGGAAACCCUCAUUCCAUACUUUUAUCCUUCUUGCAUAAUAUAUCCAGCUAUGACAUCUUUAUAUACUGUAGGUUUCCUUCUGUUCCUCUCUAUCUUCACUAGCAUUUUGCCUCUAGGGUGUAAAACUCAACUCUUGGUGCUCCAUGUAUCUAUACCUACUUGUAGCUGUAAUGUUAUUAAUAACUAAUAAUCAGUUACAUUUGUAUAAAGAUCUAGCUUUAUUUGCAUGCUCUGUUGAUUUGCAGUUUCGGGUUGAAAUUUUAAAAACGUGAUCAUCAGCUAUAAUAUGAUUUCAGGUCAUCCUUAUUCUUGUAGGUGUUACGGACAGGUAUGGUGAAGGAAGAGACUCCAACAAACAGGGGAGAUUAAAUUAUAAAAAAAAUACCAGAAGGAAAAGGACCACGAUGGGUCAGAAUAAAGCAGGUAAAUCACAAAUACUAAGGAAGGGAGCAACACAGGAACAACCAUCGCAAAUAAGCAACAAACACAGGGCAAGAACAGCUACAAACACACAAUGACCGACUGAGAAACAAGCACAAGGGCAGGCACAUAUAAACACAGAUAGCGAGGGUAAGACAAGGAACAGGUGUGGGCCAAUUACAAUCAACCACACACAUUAGGGCUGGGAACAACAAGACACAGGUGAGGGUCAUAAUCACAGAGGACACAAACACUAGGAAAGGGCUGACCAGCGACACCUGCUGGCCAGGCAGGGAAUAAUACUGACAAUGGGUGCUAUAUUCCCUUGGGAACAGGCUCAAAGUUUAACUUCACUUGUCAUGUGUAGACAGUGGUGAUUUAUCGUAUGAGUUAAAUGUCCUGCUAUGAUAUGAUACACAGCACAGAAGCUUCCUUAAGUGUGUUAUUCAUAUCCUUUAUUAUUAGAAAAUAUUAGCAAAAAAGGCUUGAUUUAAAGCAAAACAUCGUAUCGUAAAUGUAUCAAGAAAUUGCAUCUGCUGUAUCACUCGAAGAUGUUAGGAUGCUGGUCAAGUAGGAGUCAAGCCUAAUUUUUGACAGAAAGUGGAAACAGGAGUAGCUGGCAGACCCACUGUGCUGAAUUAUGGGUAUCCUAGUGUACUUCAAUUGCGCAUUGACCUCGCUGGUGUUGAAGCAUCUAAUACGGUUUCCAUUUGCAUCUUCCUGUGCUGUUUUGUAAUCCAACAGCAUUUUCAAUUUUCAACCGGCUCACGGGUUUUGAAAUAUGCAUUUGGAAAUUCAAUACCAAGUGCUGUUUCGUUCUGAUAAUCCAUGGGAAGCAAAACACUGAAAAUGGUCUUGCACCACCAUCCUGAAAUGGCCUUAAGGGUAAUAAUGUAGGGGUGGUACGUCGGAUAAGCCACAACACAGUCUCAAUAAAAAAAGAAUGAAUGAAAAUGAAUAAGUAAAAAAAAAAAAAACUCUGAGUCAUCAAUUUUACAGGUGUGCUUUUAAA